UACAUCUACAUCUAACACUUCGAAGCUCUACAUCUAACUACAAGCUUACUAGCUUGAUGGUUACUGCGAGUGGCUUUAAUUGUUUUAUAAUCAAGCAGGUAGAUUGUCUAGUGUGCGCUUCCUUGUAUACUGAAGCCUCGUUCACACCAGACACGGCAUAAAAUUACCGUACAGUAAUUUAACGCAAACAUCGCAGUCAAUCUACGCAAAAAACGCAAUCAAUCUUCCGCAUCUUCAUAACCAGUAUCGCAAAGAUGGAGGAGAGCCUCAUUUUGCUAGUGUCUAGCCACCCUUGUUUGUAUGACACUACCUCGGACGUUUACCGAGACCUAAAUGUUAAAAAUGCUGCGUGGAAAAGUGUAGCCAUGCAAGCAAAGAUGCCAGAAGACGACUGUAGGAAGAAAUGGAGAAACCUCAGGGACAGAUACAUAAAAGAGAAAAGAGCAGAGAAGGAGAAAAAGAGGAGUGGGGCUGCAGCCAGCAGCCACCGUCCUUGGCGGGGAGGAGAGAGGAGAGGAGAGCAGAAGAGCGGAAGAUGAGAUUAGAGAAGAGAACAUUGAGCUAGAAAAUGUUACUGUCCAUGAGGAACCCAUGUCUGAUGAAGACUCAUCUUCAGCCACAAGCUCUUCACAAGCUACCAGACCCAGACCCCAUACACGGAGGCAUCGGACAGGACAAGCCACCCCCAACAUGACGCCAUUUCAGCAGCGCCUCCUGACUGCCAUUGAGGUAGAAGCCACCAUUCCACCAAGACCCGAUGAUGAGGAUGAGCUUUUUGCUAAAACCAUCGUGCCCUCACUAAAAAGACUACCAACACAGAAGAAGGCUUAUGUAAAAAUGCAAAUUCUCCAGCUGCUUUAUGAUGCAGAAUUUAAUUAGAUUAUAUGAAAAUAUGACGUCCCAGGAUUUCCUUCUACAUGGUGCAACUGUUCCAGCCCUGCAUCACACCCACCCACACACACACACACACACAUAGAACCACAUCACAUAAACUCAUUCAAUAAAGUGCUUUUUUG